GCUAGCAGCCAUAUCACCCUACAACUCACAACUGGCAACCCACUGAAGCUAAGCAGAGCUGAGCCUGGUCAGUACCUGAUUAGAGACCUCCUGGAAAAACCUGUGGUUGCUGCUGGAA
rnacentral:rRNA from 1 species